AUGGAGGUGCCCGGGGCUGCCCCUCAGCCGAACUUGGGGCUGGUCCUGGAAAAGCUGUGCAGGACUGCAGCAGCAUUGCCUGAAGACCUGAGACCGGGACCUGGUUUUCCGUCGGAAUCGGUGAUAUGUGCGGCUAUUACUGGAUUUUUUAUUCUCUUGCUUUUGUGGAGAAGCAUUCAAUCGGUUAGAAGCCGGCUUUAUGUAGGAAGAGAGAAAAAGCUUGCUGAAAAGCUUUCUGGGCUAAUUGAAGAAAAAUGUAAACUUCUCGAAAAAUUUAGCAUUGUUCAAGAGGAGUAUGAAGGCUUAGAGUCAGCUUUGAAGGAUGCAAGCUUUGAGAAGGAGUCGACAGAAGCACAAAGUUUGGAGGCAACCUAUGAAAAGCUGAACAGGUCCAAAUCUAAACUUGAGGAUGAAACAGUCUUUCUAGCAAAAGAAUUAAAAGAACAGAAAUCUAAACAUUCUGAGCAAGAUGAAUUGAUGGCAGAUAUUUCAAAAAGGAUACAGUCCCUAGAAGAUGAAGCAAAAUCCAUCAAGUCACAAGUAGCUGAAGCCAAAAUAAUCUCCAAAAUAUUUCAAAUGAAUGAAGAAUGUCUGAAGGUGGCAAUAAAAGAUGCCUUGAAUGAAAAUUCCCAACUUCAGGAAAGCCAGAAACAGCUUUUACAAGAGGCUGAAGUAUUAAAAGAACAAGUGAGUGAACUUAAUAAACAGAAAAUAACAUUUGAAGACUCCAAAGUACAUGCAGAACAAGUUUUAAGUGAUAAAGAAAACCACAUCAAGUCUCUGACUGAACACUUGCUCAAGAUGAAAGACUGGGCUGCUGUGCUUGGAGAAGACAUAACGGAUGAUGACUUGGAAUUGGAAAUGAAGAGUGAAUCACAAAAUGGUGCUCACUUAGGUGAUCAGCCAAAAGGAGCUUUGAAGAAACUGAUUCACGCUGCUAAGUUAAAUGCUUCUUUAAAAUCCCCAGAAGAAGAAAGAAACCGAAUUCACACUCGGUUAUCUGAAGUAGAUAAAACAAAGGAAGAGCUUACAGAGCAUAUUAAAAAUCUCCAGACUGAAAAAGCCUCUUUACAGUCAGAAAACACACAGUUGGAAAGUGAAAAUCAGAAGCUUCAGCAGAAACUUAAAGAGAUGACUGAACUGUAUCAAGAAAAUGGAAUGAAACUCCACAGGAAAUUAAUAGUAGAGGAAAAUUACCGGUUAGAGAAGGAGGAGAAACUUUCCAAAGUAGAAGAAAAGAUCAGCCAUGCAGUUGAAGAACUGGAGACCUACAGAAGGCGAGCCAAAGACGUUGAAGAAAAAUUGGAGCGAACCAUUCGUUCUUAUCAAGGGCAGAUGACUUCCUAUGAGAAAGAAGCGCAUGAUAAUUGGUUGGCAGCUGAGACUGCUGAAAGACACCUCAGUUAUUUAAGGAAAGGAAAUGUUUACAAGAGACAAAAAUUAAUGGAAGAAGAGUUUAAAUUUGAACUUAUGGGUGGUAUGCAUUAA